AUCGAACGCUGGCGGCAGGCCUAACACAUGCAAGUCGAGCGAGCGGCGGACGGGUGAGUAAUGUAGGGGGACUGCCCGAUAGAGGGGGAUAACUACUGGAAACGGUAGCUAAUACCGCAUACUAUCGGAUAACCCAUAUGGGAUUAGCUAGUAGGUGAGGUAAUGGCUCAACUAGGCGACGAUCCCUAGCUGGUCUGAGAGGCUGAUCAGCCACACUGGGACGAGGAAACGGCACAGACUCCUACGGAGGAAGCAGUGGGAAAUAUUGCACAAUGGGCGAAAGCCUGAUGCAGCAAUGACGCGGGUGUGAAGAAGGCCUUAGGGUUGUAAAGUACGUUCAGUCGGGAGGCGUUACCGAAAGAAAAAGCACCGGCUAACUCCGUGCCAGCAGCCGCGGUAAUAC
rnacentral:rRNA from 1 species